AAAAUUCCAAGCUUCUCAUUUUCACUACAAGCCAUUACAAUUCCCCAACUUCACUUCUCCAUUUCUCCACCAAAAAAAUCCAUUAAAUUCCAUUUUUUUUAUUUCUUUUCUAUAAAUACUCAUUUUUUCUCUACAAUCACCAUUAAUGGCCGGAAUGGAGUUUAACGACAUCAUUCUUCGUGGAGGGAAGCCCGAUGAGCGACAAAACAAGAUUUUGCAAAGAUUGCAAACUCGGGAGCUCCUCGCCAC
rnacentral:lncRNA from 1 species